CUCAGGAUUAACGCUGGCGGCAUGCCUAACACAUGCAAGUCGACCGCUGUGCUUGCACAGAGGGGCGAACGGGUGAGUAACACGUAUCUAACCUACCUUAUAGUCUGGAAUAACUGUUGGAAACGACAGCUAAUGCCGGAUAGAAGUCCAUUGGAAUCACUGGAGGACCAAAGGCCCGUUUGGGUCGCUAUUAGAUGGGGAUGCGGCGCAUUAGUUAGUUGGUGAGGUAAUGGCUCACCAAGACGAUGAUGCGUAGCCGGCCUGAGAGGGUGAACGGCCACACUGGAACUGAGACACGGUCCAGACUCCUACGGGGGGCAGCAGUAGGGAAUCUUCCACAAUGGGCGAAAGCCUGAUGGAGCAAUGCCGCGUGAGUGAUGAAGGUCUUCGGAUCGUAAAGCUCUGUUGUAAGGGAAGAACGACGAGUAUAGGAAAUGCUACUCGUGUGACGGGUACCUUACCAGAAAGCCACGGCUAACUACGU
rnacentral:rRNA from 1 species